rnacentral:lncRNA from 1 species
ACAAAAAUAAUAAUAUGUGUCUCUUAAAUGAUAAAAUAACAGGUGUGUUUUGAGACGAUGUUUCGAACAAAAAUACUAACAUGUGUUUCUUUAAUCUAAAUCAAUAUUCAAUCUUCUAUUUUUAGUUUCUUGCUCGGAUUGUUCCUUCAAUUAUCUCCUUUGCAUCCACCUUGUAAACUUCUUCGACAAUCAAUUUCUUCCAUGUUCUUUCUUCUCUUUUCUUCACAUCCAUCUUCACCAAGAAUUUGAACUCUUUAUCUUCCGAGGACAUUAGCUUUUUGUAUUAUUUACACAGUUCUUUUUGUUGGUCUGAGAAGAAAAUAACAAUAUAUGUUUUUAUAAAGAUGAGUUAGUCACCUAAUUUUAGUUAGAAGCAAUAUAAUAUGUUGAAAACACAAAAUCUAAAUUAUAUGUUUACCUUUAAAGAGCUUCAGCAUAUUCAAUCACAGUACUUACUAUGAAAGAUUUGGCAGCAUCAAAGAUUGUGACGUAAACUUCUUGAUUACCAUCUAAAACUAUUAUCCUCAACAAAUACUUUCUAUUAAAAGCUAUGUCUUUAAUUUCACAUAUUGUACAUGUGACGAUUUUUUUAAUCUUCCUCUGGGAAACUCUUGCACCACACUUGUUUUGAACCUUUAAAAUCUUGCCUAUAAAAGCACAAUACAAUUUAGUCACACUAUUUGUAACCAUAUCAUCUAAUUUUACGAUACCAGCAUCCACCAUCCUCUUUGUAGGUCCCAAUAGUUUGUACAAUCCUUCACCACAUAGCAAUUUUUUAGUGCUGUAAAAAAAAAAAAAAAAAAAAAAAAGAAAGCAAAAUAAAUCAUCUUUCAGCUCUAUUAAAAUCUGUUUAAAUUUAGUAGUAAUGUAAAUAUAAUCGUCAUGACUAAAUAAACCAUGCUCGCCUAUUUUUAAUAGCAUUAGUUUCUUCAAGUUGCAGAUUGAUCUCAAUGAUACUAAUAUUUGAAGUGGAGAUGUUUAGUUCAUAUGUUUGAUAGACGUUAGUAAGAACGCGGCAUAGAUUGUUGAUUUUAGCAUACAACUCUUUUUAAUAUGAUAAUAAAAUAAUUAUAUAGUAUCACCUUCAUAGUAACUUGCUCUCACAUUCAAAGCUACAAUAAGUGGCAUUGAACAGCAUCUUCCAUAGACUUUCCUUCGUUGUUAGCCAAAUCUCCCCCACAAAUGUAAUUUCAUUGUAUUACACCUGUACUAAAAAAAAAAAAAAAAUUGUUGAGUAAAUAAUAUUAUAAAGUUUAUCUUCUUUUUAUUUGAUUAAAAAAAAUUGUUUGAUUUUAUGGAUGAUGUUUACCCAUUGUCUAGGAGAAUCACUUCUCGUUUCUUCGUUGUUCUUUCACUUGGCCUCUUAACGUUGAUGAUGAACGUAGGUUUUACUUUGACAGCAAAUCCUAUAAUAUCUGAGAACACAAAAGAAAAAAAAUUUCCAGAAAGAAUUCAUUAGCCAGCGGAAAAAAAAAAAAACCUUAGAUAUCAUGAAUUUCUACACCAAUGUUUUCACUAAUGUCAUGUGGAGUGUUCCUUUUUUAUUAUUAUUUUUAUUUUUAUUUUUUUUCCCUUCUUCAAUAAAUAGCUUAAUAAAAUAGGACCUGAUAUAAAAUAUGGGUAGAGUUUUUUGAAUAUUAGAAUUAAUACUUAGUAAGACUUUCCGAACAUUAUUGGAAACUAUGCAUUUGACUGAAAAAUAUAAUUACAAUGACGAUAUCUCUACUAGCAAAAUUUCGUAUGUCAUUGAAUUGAGGAUAAGAGUUUGAUAUCUUAUAGCAUAUGUGUUCUUCAAUCUCUUCUACUUCCGUUGUAGUUGUGAAAGACAAUUCGAUUUCAUCAUUCACAUUUUGGUAUUGACAGGUCUUACAUUUUUAUUUCGUAUAAUGUAAGAUUUCCCCUUUUCAAUUAUAGCAUCGAGUUUUUGAAUUGCAUCAUUGAAUAACAUGGCUUGAAUUUUAUAUCCCUAUAGAGAAAUCACUAUGUUACUUCUAAUAUACCCGAUUGAAUAAACUCAAACAUGAAUAUACCACAUAAUCAUUACUCCAUUACCAUCAAUACUAAAUUCAAAUAAUCCAGUGUAGCAUAAAUAUUCGGUGCAUAUCAAGAGCAAAUAUUUAUUCACUACAACCUAAGUCGUCAGAUUAGAACCUAAGUCAUCAAAUUAGUAAAAUAAAAGUUUUUUUCCUUUCUUUCCUUCCUUUGAUCUCCACACCAUCUCAGAUUCUUACUAUUAAUUUUACUGUACAAAUAUAAAAGUCAAAAACAUAAGAUCCUGUGAGAUAAAUUAAAGUAUUCUUGAUAAAGCAAAAGACUUUUAGAAGCACGUAAAGAUAUGAGGGAAAUGAAAUAUUUAUGCCAUGUCAGUAUUUGAAUCUCAAAGAUGAAUUCAGAAUUAUUAAAUAUAAGGGUCAUCAUAGUAGAUAUAUUACCUCCUUGUCAAUUAGGAUGAUAUUCAAAAGAUCAAAUUUUCCAGCAUUUUGGAAUAAAAUUUGACUAAAUCCUUUCGAACUACCGUCAGUUUAAUGUACCAUUCAUUUUCAUACGCCAAUAAAUCUCUUAUAGCCUAUGAUUCCAUGAAGGGGGAGAGCAAAAUAUUUGAUGAUUUGAUUGAAAUGUGACAACAACCAAUUUGUGAAAAUAAUUUAAAUAGUUGAGGGAUUAGUUCAUUUAUGUCUAAAACUCAUGAUAACAAUCAAAUUCAUUCAUGAACAUGAAAUCUAAUUAAUUCCAAUUGAUGCUGCUGAUGCGUGUCACAUAUAUACAAUGUAUGAUUAUCACUUUAUGGGUGAAUGCAUGCAUUUAGGUAAAUGUAUUCAACAUAUAAUUACCACUAUAUGUGUCCAUGCAUGCAUUUAUGUAAAUGCUUUAGUAAGAAUUGGAUAUACAAUGUAUAAUUAUCACUUUAUCUUUCAAUUUCUAAAUCUUUAAUUGAGUGUCAUAAGACUCGGCUUCUGAAAUCAUCAACCUAGCAACUUGAUUUUAUCCUUGACCACCUUUUCAAACAGCCUCAACACGUCCUCAUAAUUAUUAUACAUGCAUGUGCAUGUAAAUAAAUAACUGAAUCGUAAUAGGGCUUGUAAGUAGUAGUGCUAGAAUCGUCCGAAAAAUGAUUUUCCCUUCAUGUGAUAUUUAGUGUAUUAUAGAUUUUUAUCCCCAACAACUUGCAUAAUAGUUAUGUAGGAAAUCAUCAUUUUUGUUAAAUCAAUUAUAUGAUUUACUUUUCUUUCAGUUGAGAAGAAAACCGACAAAAUUUGUUUUAGGUGAAAAGAAAAAUCAAAUAGAAAAUAUUUUGCUUACGUAGAAGAAAUAAAUGAGGAUAAUUUCUCACCGUACUUGUUGGUCCCAAUCGAUCUUUCAACAAUUAAUUUUAGGCACAAAUUUCAUAAGAUUCACAAAUUUUCAACCACAUUUCAUCAAUUUUUAUCAGAAUCUACUAAAAUACACCAAACAAGGGCUUAGUUCGUUUGUAAUAUUAUUGUCCAAUGAGAAAAAGUUUUUCAACAAUUUGACGUGUAAAUCGACAUUGAAUACGUGUAAUACAACCGACAGCACAUUAUAAGUAUGUUAAUUGCCGAUAUAAAAAUCAUCAACCAAGUUUAAAUUGUAUGUUAUUUGAGCAGGUAAUAAGCAACAAAACAAGGCAUGGCAUUCGUAGAGGAUAGAAUUUAGUUAAUUGGAACAUCAAAUCACCUACAUUUUUCUUGCCCAAAAGGAAACAAUGUGCUUGUAAAUAAUUUAUAGACCUUUCACGAUUAACCAUUUAAGCUAUGCAGUGACUAUUUUAGCUUUAGACAUUCUCUUUCUUUCCGUUCUAUUCUUGCUUUCAGAAGUCUCUGCGAGAAAUACAAAAUUGCAGAUUUAUGGGGUAAAAAUCAAAAGAAUGUCUCUUAACUCACACUAGACGGCCUGCUGCAUCAUAUACUCGCUCCCUGAUGCACUGGUGCUUGUAUGGGACAAGUGCAAAUCCGAUCCCUACAAAAGAUAGCUUUCAGAAGCCCAAUGCUUAAACUCAUGUGAUGAACUCAGCAUCGGAGAUGCAAAGAGAUAGGACGAACAUCACUUUCACUUAUUAGUAAAUUACUGGGUUUAAAACAAGUUCACAACGAGUAAAGGUGAAGCUGAAUCCAUGAGUAGUAGUAGUACAAUAUAAGAAGUUUCAUACUUCUUGACAUUUUAUUUCAAGCUCCACAGGUACAUUUUUGUAGCACAGGACACGUAUCCGAAUUGAUAUCAUAUAUAAACCUCAAACGCCUAAAAUUCUUGGGCAGACUAGCUCUUUCACAACUCGUAAUGUCUCAAAUUCGUAUGUUUACGAGAAGUGAUAAAUAUCCUUGAAUGUAUCGGCUCUGGUUAUUCACCGUCUGUUUCUAUGGCAUGUAUCAAUCAAAUAAUUAUAAUAACUAUUGAGUCUUUUUCACAAAACAAGGGGUAGUUAAAGAUUGGAGAACUUUUCUAUCAUUAUCCAUAAAUAAGGAAAUCAAACCAAUUAUAUGCUCCUAUAAAACAGAAAAAAAGAGUAGGUAAUGUUCUCUUCUCUUUACACUAAUAACAGUACAGGACUCGUGAUUAUCUUCCUGAUCAUUCGGCAUCAAGAUGAUGGAAUUCAAUUAUAGCACCGGAGUUUACCAACCCCAGGAUAAAUUAAGUAAGUUGUUAGAAUUCCAACAAGAGAUAGGAGUUGCAUCAACUUCGGAAGAAAUUAUGUACAAUCGAGAUAACUAUGCAAUGUGUGCAUGCCACCACGAGUGAUGCUUAAUGAAAAGCUGCAGGAGUACAAUUUGAAUUUAGAUGGCCUAAAAAGAAACAGCUGCAGGGCUUCCAUCCAAACAAGCAAAUUUAGUCUUGAGGGUUUUAAGAUACAAGAAUUAUUUUGCAACAACCACUUAUUUAUGUUUAAAUAAAUAGUCUAUUUGACAAUUACUCUCUCUGUCCCAUGUUAUUCUUCUAGAUCACUAUUUCAAUUUGUCCUAAAAGUUAUUUUGGUCACUAACUUGAGACUCUAGAUUCUGAUUAUACACCUUGUCAUGUUAUAGUGGGACAAGGCUUAACUGAAGAUAAGAAAUAAACUACCCACUGCAAUAUUAAAUGGAAGUUCAACUUGGGACAGACUUGAAUCGUCAAAAUUGACUUCUCUUCAGAAUUUGACCACUUCUGCACUCAUAUACUUAGACCCACUCAUACAAAAGCUAAGGUUAAUAGGGGCAAAAGAUUUCAUGACAAUCAGAUUUCAUAACUUUUGACAGCACAAGAGGGCCAAUAAAUAAUUUAAUAAGCGUAAUUCUAAGACCACAUAUGUAUAGUGAUAAAAAAUUACUUAAAAGCUAAACCUGACUAGUCAGAAAUAUUGAGUAAAUUUGUAAUAGUUCAACCUACGAGUUUGUAUAGGUCUUUAACUCUUUUCUCUUGACAUAUUUGCCUUCAACCUUAAGUUUGCAGAACUUCUAGAAGCAUUGUGUCUUCAUCCUAUCAAACUUUUUAGCUCUGUAAUCGGCAAUCUGAAGUAAGUAAAUGAUUUUCAUCUAUUUGACCUUUGCGAUAAUAUAUGCGACUAUUUGUUAAAAGAGGUCAUUACCUAAUAUUGGAACCACCUAAGAGCAAAUUUGAUAGAUAAUAUUAAAUAGUAUAGCAUAACAUUUUUUUUUAAUUACUAUACUGAAUAGGCGAAUACCGUCUUUGCUUCCAAACAAUUCAUAAUUCCUUCACCCAUUUAUAUGGAGGAAUGAUCGAAUCAUAAAAUCAUGAUUUUAUAACCAUGGCCAAAAAGUGAUCUACUAUUGUAACUUGAGGGGAUGAUACUUACAACCCUAAUUCUUAGCUAGAUUCAGAAUGUAAAGUGGGACGAGCAGAGCUAGAUUUUUCACGUGCGAGUCACUCGUCGGCUCAUACAAGAGCCAAGAAACAAAACAUUAAAAAUUAUGCAAGCAUUAACAUUCCUCUCUAGAUUCCAAUUCUCUAUAGGAUGAAGGACGGGCCUUUUUUCACUUCUUCUUGCUCUUCAUUAUUAUCUAUGUAUUAAACUUUAAUGAUUUAUAAUUAUAGCAUUUAUUAAAUGUAUAUAACUAUUUGUGAUAUAACAUGAUUUCUUUUAUUGCAAAUAGAAAUCACCACAAACUCCAAAAGCUCAAUUAAUUAAAGAUCAAAUAUAUGAAUAUUUUUUUUUUGCUUUUUGUUCGGUUAACUACUAUUUAUACCUUGAACUACACAAAUCUUUUUCACUAGAUUUAAUUUGAUUGAUCUCUAUAUGGCGGCCUUAAAAUGAACAAGUUGAUUCAUACCAUGGCUUACUUCGCCAUGCUCUUGAGAUUUUUUUUUUUGUUUAUUUAUCACUUAAAAUCAUUGAAAAGCACAAAAAUUACAAAAAAUCAACCCUAUACAAGCUCAAAUAACAUGUGGUCCCACAUCCUGAUUGCGCCAAUCAACUGUGGUAGAAGCACCAUCCCCUGUCCCUGAAAAUAUGCAUCGUACAACUUAUUAUUCCUUUGAGUAUCGUAGCUCGUUGCUUCACCAUCGAUAAUCUUCAGUCUAGUCAUGAUGGCAAAACCCAAGUAUAGAGAAAUUAGUGACCUUGCCUUUGAGGUUGAAGUAGAGUGCAUUCGCCAUUGACUUACCUAAGUAGUUGACAUAGUAAUGCAUCAAUGAUCUAUCUAGAAUACUUCACCUUUCUCAACUGAUACAGGGGCCACAUGAAGGACUUGAGUAGUAUAUCUCCAUGCUAAUCAUCGAGCAACUCCAAUAUAGUAAUAAAACUGUCAAAACUACUAUUUCAAGUAUAUUUACCUGCCAUUUGUCUCAACUCAGCAUCGAGAUGGUAUUCCAUUCUAAAAAAAUUCAAAUGUUAGAACAUUUUGCAAGAAAUAAUGGAAUAAAGCAUAAUUUCAGAAAUUUAAACGAACUGAAUUUUAACUAUUGUAUGCUAGAAAUAGAUUCAUUUUACAUCGAUACUAAUAAAAAAAGAAAUGAUUUAAUAAAUUAAAGGGGAAAAGAAAUAAGAAUUACAGAUAAAAAUAAAAAAAUUUAAAUGAAUUAAAUAUACAAAAAAUUUAAAAUUAAAGAAAUAAAUAACAAAAAUAAUAAAAAUUAAAGAUCUAAUAUUAAAAAGUUGAAUGGAAAAAAAAUAAAUUAUGACAAAUAGAAAACAAUUAAGAAAUUUUUUUAAAAAAGAAGAAACUAAUAAUAAAUUAAAUUAAGUAAAAAUUAAAGACCAACAUAGAAAAGGAAAAAUAAAUUAAUGAAAAUUAUAAAAUAUAAAAAUUAAAGCAAGAGUAUUUAAAAAAUCAAAAUGAAAAAAAUUUAUAUAAAGAAGAAAAAAAUUAAGAAAUUUUAAAAUUAUUAUAAAAAAAUAAAAAGAAAAAAAUUAAACGAAAGGAAAUUAUAAAAUUAAAUUAAGAGUAUAAAUAUUAUUUAAUUAAAAUCGAAAAAUUAAACUUUAUCAUAAAGAAAAGAAUUAAAAAGUAUUUAACUGAAAAAGAUUUAUUUAUAAUAUGAAGCAAACAAUUAAGAAAUUUUAAAACUAUUACCUAAAAUGUAAUAAUAAAACAAAAAAAAAUUAGACAAAAGGAAAUUAUAAAAAUUAAAUAAAGAAUAUGAAUAUUAUUUAAAAUUGAAAAAAAUUAAAUUAUCAUAAAGAGAAAAAUACUAAUAAACAAUAAAAAAUCAGGAAAAAAAAAUAAAAAUCGGCCCAAAAAAAUUGGGUUUGCCCAAUUGAAUAUUAAACAAUCGGGUUCAACAAUUGUUAACAGUUGCUUUUUCCAUUUUUAGCCGAAAAUGAGGCAAUCACAGCCCCCAAAAAAUACUUAAAUCUAGUCUACACCCGAGCAUCUAUCUAAAUACUAAACAAUAAACUAAAUGGAUGUUAAAUUUAAUCUUUACUAUAUAUGAAAAAUCAAUUUCAUAAUCACUAAACUACCAUUGUUGAAGAUAACUUCGCUCAAUGACUGGGUUGUGGAAGUCGAAGUUGGGUUGACUAUGAGGGUGGUGUGUUCGACUGGAUCCCAAUUGAGUUUUUUCUUUUCUCUCUCCACUGUUUGCACAAGAUGAGGCGAGGGUAUUUUUUUUAUUUUUGAUCUUUCACCUCAUAAUUUAACUUUUUACUCUUUUUUUAAUGGUCAAAGGCUUUAUUAGAAAUAUGCCUAGGUCAACCGGCCAUUUCCAUGUAUUUCCUCGAUUAUAUUAUCACCACAAUAAAUGUUUGGUACACCACAAAAUUUCUUAUCUAUUUAAAUGAUUUUUGAGUAAAGUGACAUAAAUAUCAUAUAUUAUUAGCUUCUAUAUUUAUUCAUUCUUGUUAGGAGUAUGACUCAAAUAGGAAUCUUUUGAAGAGGCGAAUUCGACUUGGACUAAGAAAAUAUUAAAUUAGGGUUUAAGGAAACAAAAUCCUAUUGAAAUUGGGUCUCCUAAUAGUAAUGUGUUUUCUUGCCUUUUACGACUCUUCUAGGAUUGGCCUAUAAAUACGAGACUCCUCUGGUUAAUUUGUAGAGAGUAACAUAGAAGCAGUAUGAUAGUCUAUUUUGUAUUCUCCAUACUGUUGAAUUAAUAAAUAUUGUUCCUCUGUGUUUACCCCUUGUUUUGUUUCUUUACAAAUUCAAUCUUGUGUUCUCGUGAUGCGAUCUAGUAAACUUCAAUAUUGUCAUUAAAUCUCGUUAUUUAAAAUCCGAUUUGGAAUCAAUGUGUGUUAUUGGAGCUUUCGCGCCCAAUAGGUGGUAUCAGAGCGAGGUUGUUGAUUUUCUGUGGAUUGGUUAAGAUUCUUUCGAAAUGGCUAGGUUGAAGUAUGAUGUUCCGCUGUUAGAUUGCAAUACAAGGUUUUCAUUAUGGCAAGUAAAGAUGAGGGCUAUUUUAGCACAGUUGGAUUUGGAUUAUGCGUUGCUGGGUAUUGAGAGGAUGCCAGCUGGUUGGAUAGCGGAGGAGAAACAAUGGAAGGAUCAAAAGGCCGUUUCAUUGAUUCAUCUUCAUCUGUCCAACAAUAUUUUCCAGGAUGUCUUGAAGGAGAAAAUGGAGGCUGCUUUGUGGUUGACGUUGGAACAGUUGUGUAUGAUUAAGAGUCUUACAAGUAAACUAGCUCUCAAGCAGAAGCUGUAUUCACAUCGCAUGGCAGAAGGAGGGUCGUUGGAAGACUAUGUUGCCAUGCUCAAGGAAAUAGUUGCAGAUCUGGAGACAUUGGAGGUUAAGUACGAUGAAGAGGAUGUUGCCUUGAUCCAGUUGUGUUCGCUGCCUGGAUCUUAUGCGUCAUUUCGGGAUACUAUCAUAUAUAGUUGAGAUACUUUAACUAUAGAAGAUGUUUAUGAUGCUUAACACUCAAAGUAGAAAAUGAAGCAUUUGGUUGGAGCUAUAUCAAGGGAUGGGGAAGCUCUUGUAUCUUAAAGUGGUCAAUGAAGAGGCAGAUCAAGAGUUAGAUUUAGCAAUGUGACCUAUUACUACUACAAAAGGAAGGGACAUAGUCGGAAGGAUUGCGAUAUGUUGCAAGCUAAAGGUGAUUUAGCUGUAAAUUGUGGGGUGCAACCUUUGAAUUCAGACGAAACCAAUGUAGUUGAGAAUUGUUCAGGUAGCGAAGAGGUGAUGUUGACCGUGGUAUCUGAUGUGGAGUCUAGGCCUGAUGAGGAGUGGAUUUUUAAUUCAGCAUGUUCGCACCAUAUGUGUUCCGAUAGGAAUUUAUUUAAGAGAUAUAAGGUUGUUCAGCACGGUGGGGUUGUAAUGGAAAACAACCAAUCUUGUUGUAUUGCUUGGAUCAGUCGAGUCAGAUUGAGGCUGCAGGAUAGAACAUUUAGAACAAUUAAUCAACUUCGACAUGUUCCUGACCUGAAAAGUAAUCUCAUUUUGUUAAGUACCUUGGAUGCAAAAGGGUAUAAAUUCUCUGGAAGAGGUGGAGUCUUGAAGGUCUAAAAGGGAGUUCGAGUUGUACUAGAGGGACGGAAAAGAUCCCAAUUGUACAUUUUGUAGGGGAGUGCAGAACUAGUUAAGAGGAGACAUUUGGACAAGUUUAGUACCGUGGUGAAAGUUCAGUUUUGGUACAGUACUUCUUAUGUUAGGCUCUGAGUCGAUUCAGAACACUGCUAGGGAGAACGUUGGUGAUUUCGCUUUGCAUCGAUUUCAGCGAAUAUACUGUGUUCAGUUGCUGGAAUAGGACUCAUCAAGCGUAGGUACUGUGGUGUCAGUAAUAUCUGGGAUGCUUUUAGAGAAGUUAAAGGCGAUAGUUCCAGCAAGGGCCCUUCUAAUAAAGUAUCUGGUUUGGUUUUUCCUACAGGGUAUGGUUCGGCCCUUUGUGAUCAGCAUUAAUUCCUUGGUAGAAUUGAAACCCUAGGGAUUGGGUUCUGGUGUCGGCUGUGGACGCCGGGUAGAGGAUGAGUGUUUAGCUUAUAUGGAGUGGUUACUGUGUUGAGGAGAUUCGGCCAGUUAGUUUCGAUGCAGAUGAAUUUGAAAUCUAGAAGUUUCGUUUGUAGCACCGAAAUUAAAGUCGAGGUGGAGAUUGUUAGGAGUAUGACUCAAAUAGUAGUCUUUUGAAGAGGCGUAUUCGACUUGGACUAGGAGAAUAUUAACCUAGAGUUUAAGAAAACUAAGUUGAAUAAGAAAACAAAAUCCUAUUGAAAUUCGGUCUCCUAAUUGUAAUAUAUUUUCUUGCCUUUUAGGACUCUUCUAGGGUUGGCCUAUAAAUACGAGGCUCUUCUGGUCAGUUUGUAGAGAGUAACAUAGAAGCAGUAUUGCUAGUCUAUCUUGUAUUCUCUAUACUGUUGAAUUAAUAAAUAUCGUUCCUCUACGUUUACCCUUUGCGUUCUUUCUUUACAAAUUCAAUCUUGUGUUUUCGUAGUGUGAUCUAGAAUACUUCAAUACUGUCAUUAAAUCUCGUUCUUUAUAAUCCGAUUUGGAAUCAACGUGUGUUAUUGGAGCUUCCGCGCUCAACAAUUCUCAAGUUUGCUCUGAUACAACGAAAGGAACGACCGAUGUUGAUAAAUGAAUUGAAGGAGAAAAGUAUACAUUUGUUCCAUAGAAAUAAAAGGCAGGCACAUUUUUGUAUACAAGAAAUUACAUAACUAAUUUACAUGAAAAUAGUUAACUGAACAAACUCCGUUAGUGAUAUCUAUUUUUUUGUUCGGAUUUGAUUCACAUAUUUCAACAAGAAGUAACCUUUUUUUAUUAAAUGAGCAAGUAGUAACUUAGAAUAAAAUUUGGUGGGCAAUUAUUAAUUAACUCUAAAACAUACAUAAUUCUAAAAUACGUAAAGAAACAAUCGAUAAUUCUAAAAUACGUAAGGGAACAAUCGAUAGAGAAGAUGAACUUGCAUGGUGAAAAACCUAAAAGAAAAACCGGAAUUGGUAUUGGCUUUUGUGAAUUCAGAGGGCUUUUCUCUUCUUAAAUUGUGAGAGAGAGGAGAGAGAAUAUAAGAAAUGAAAGCUAAAAGCGAGUCAACUUUUUGGAAAGCUUAGAAUGCAUUUGAUUUGUUAUUUUCAGUUUUUAAUUUUGUAAUACACUGAAAACAUGUUUGAUUUGGUAUAUCUAAAAAUACAAUUUUGAAAAUAAGGACAAAAUUAUAACAUAAAAUUCAAAACACAUUUUCCAUGUCUUGUGUGUUUUCAGUGAAAAUUAAAAAAUACAAAAUAUAAAAUUCUAACAAAUAAUACUUUAUAUUUUAAAAAAUUUAAAAAAAAUAAUUUCUAAAAUUUAAAAUUAAAAGUUGAAAAAUAAAAUUAAAAAAAUAAAUUUUUUAAGCACAUAAUGAUGAUUUAUAUAAAAAUUCAAAAAAAAAUUAAAAAAAUUAUAUUCUUAGUCUACAUCAUUAAUCUUUAUUUUUAUUUUCUAUAUGUUAAAAUCAAUUUAUUAUUUAUUUUUAUUUUACUUUUAUAGCGAGACAAAAUAUUGUAAGAUUCACCAACUUUAAAAUGUAUAUGUUACAUGAUAAUAAAAUGUCAUAAAUAAUUUUUCAAAAUUCAAAUUGUUGGGUUUUUUGAUACCCAAUAAUCCAGGCGAUGAUUUAAAAUAGUUGUCAGAUUAUUUAUCGACACAAUGGACUUGGCUCGACUCGGAGAUAAACUACACUUUUGGAUGGUUCGGGUUUGGGUUGGAUGAUUAUUUGGUUAGUUGGACCAUUUAGUGAUUAAUAUGGAGUUGAAUAUUGGCCCAUAGUUUAGGUUAAUUGGUAACCCGCUUAGUGAACCCUAGACCCAAUUAGAGUGACCUAAACUAACCUAUAUAUAUGUAUUUAUCUCCCAGUCGUUUUUGGUGGUGGUGUGUGUUGUAGCAAUGGAGAUGAGAGUUGAGAGAAGAGAGGCAACCAUGAGAGAGGGAAGCCAUGUGAGGUUGUAAGUAAGAUUCAACUAUUGUUCUUCUUCCUCUCCAUACCUUUAUGGAUUGCUAACACCACCACCCUUCUCCUUUGUGGGGUUAGAGAGAAAGAGAACAGUCCAAAGUAAAGGUGAAAGUCUCGGGUCGAGUCAAGGUAAACCGGUAUUCGUUUGAUUAUUUUCUGAGCCCGAAAUCAAGAUUUAUCGAGGGAUUUCCACUACAAAUGGUAUCAGAACUUGUGUUAUUGAUAAAUCUGUGAUUUUUAGGGCUAAAAACGGGCUGGAAGUGGUCAGAAACGGGUUUGAAAAUCAGAGGCAGAAACUAUUCGAUUUUUUCAAUUUUCUACCGAAUCUGUUUUGGCGUAUUCUGAUGAAACCAAAAACAGUUUGGAGAAACGGACACCACCAUUGGACUGUGCAGGUGGAGACAAUUCAGAAAGGUUGGGGCGGCACGCGGCGCGUGAGGGUGCGUCUGGAGGAUUCCAGCGAAGUGGUCUUCAGACAGAAUCUUCCCCAUGACGAGAUGGACCCUGCAGUGUUUUCAGAUUUCAAUUUGGAGUAAUACAGUGAAAGUUGAACGAUUUUGCCCUUGGACGUUCGGGUGCCGAGUGCUGUUUUCGUGUUGCUGUGAUUGCUGUUGACUUUAGGAUGAAGAGUGAUAGUCCUGAAGUGGUGAAUUCGCGUCUCUCGAUAUUUACGGACCUUCAGACGUGGUCCGCUCGGUAUCGUAUUCUUUACUUUAUAUUAUAACAGUUAAAAUAAAUGUGUAGAGUAAUUUAUUUUUUGCAUCAAAGGUCAUCGUGUGGGUUACAUUAGGUUUGGGGUUACCAUGAAGGGGUAACCAUUGCCUAUUGCUAGACCUAGGAAUUAUUUGUUAAUUAUUUGCCUUAAAUUCUUUGUGAAUUUGCUGUCAAUUUUUCUACAUUAUUAGAAUUGUAUGUGGCCUUGGGAAAGUUUACUGGAUUAUUCUAUGUGAAUUAUGUUCAUACUUUACUUGUGGUCAUUAUUUGACAUUGGGGGUAAAUGAGGUCUAAGGUAAGUGGGAAAAAUAACAUAUAUUUUAACUAUGGUAAAAUUUGGACAUAGUUGAAAGAGAUUGUCCUAGGAUGAUAAUAAAAGGAAAGAUGAGGAUAGAGACAAGGCGAAUCUGGCUUUACAAGCAUAGUGGGUUAAGUUUUGUGACGUAAUCUAUUUGCUCUGUGAGUGGUGUAAGAGUGUGGUAGUGAGAAGAAAGUUGGGCAGCCGUUUCUCUCCUUCAUCUUUGUGAGCCUGUGUGAUUUGUGAGAUUAUAUAAGGCAGUCAUGUUAGGGUUACCUUCUUUAUCCUUGUGAGCCUUUUUUUGUGAGUGUAGUGAAGUAACCGACUCUUUCUUCGAUUCUCUUUGAGAGUGUCACCUUCACUAUUUUCUUUGUGAAUUUUUGGGAGCAUUGGUGAGUGGAUUAACCUUUGUGGUCACCGAAAGGUGUUGAUUUGUCAUAGUGAGUUUGAGAUGCAUUAGCAGUGAGUUGGAUGUCUUUUGGUAAAGUGGAGUAUAGAUGCCUAGGGGUACAUGGUGAUUUGUACUGAGGGAUGUAGAGUGUGACAUUUGGAUCACGAGUGGAGAUGUCAUCAAAUGUGUAGAGUCAUUUAUCUGUGAAAGAGACCCUGUACAAGUGGAGUGUGAGAGAGGCACUUCUAUCACUUCUGUAAAGUGGAGUCCCAUUAUCCACGUAGGUUGAGAGAAGUGAUGUGGUGAUAGAGGAUUAUCCCGAGAGUUUAGGAUCUAUUAUGACUUACCAGUUAGACAUGAGUUAAGUGAGCAUUGUGGGCGAUGAGAGGAGAUAUGUGUUCUCGAGAUGGGAGUAACACGGAAUGUGAUAGGAUAAGUGUGGUGAGAUUUUUCAUGGGGUCAUUUAUGUAUUUGUUGCAUAUGUGCAUGACCUUGUGUUGAUUAACUAAGUGUUAAUCUGUGGUUCUGUGUGAACGUGGUUUUGAAAAGAUCUGUGUGUGUGUGUUAUCCUAUAUAUCUUCAUCGCAUGAUUAUUUGUUCAUUGUGAAUACUUGUUUCUACUUGGGUAUUAUUGACCUUAGCCCUGGUGAGUAUAUGGAGCAAGUAUCGUAUGUGUUUCAGGUUGGAAACACAAGGUAAGGUCUGUUAUUCCAAUUUUAUUGGAUUACCUUGAUUGUGCAAGUAUAAAUUGUGUGUUUUGGUUGCUUGCAGAUUAUUGGGCAUCAAGGUGGAGAUUGUUAGGUUUUUUGAUACCCAAUAAUCCGGGCGAUAAUUUAAAACAGUUGUCAGAUUAUUUAUCGACACCAUGGACUUGGCUCGACUCGGAGAUGAACUACACUUUUUGAUGGUUCGGGUUUGGGUUGGAUGAUUAUUUGGUUAGUUGGACCAUUUAGUGAUUAAUAUGGAGUUGAAUAUUGGUCCAUAGUUUAGGUUAAUUGGUAACCCGCUUAGUGAACCCUAGACCCAAUUAGAGUGACCUAAACUAACCUAUAUAUAUGUAUUUAUCUCCCAGCCAUUUUUGGUGGUGGUGUGUGUAUUGUAGCAAUGGAGAGGAGAGUUGAGAAAAGAGAGGCAACCGAGAGAAAGGGAAGCCAUGUGAGGUUGUGAGUAAGAUUCAACCAUUGUUCUUCUUCCUCUCCAUACCUUUGUGAAUUGCUAACACCACCACCCUUCUCCUUUGUGGGGUUAGAGAGAAAGAGAGCAGUCCAAAGUGAAGGUGAAAGUCUCGGGUCGAGCCAAGGUAAACCGGUGUUCGUUUGAUUGUUUUCUGAGCAUGGAAUCAAGAUUUAUCGAGGGAUUUCCGCUACACAAAUCAAAUGUGUUUCUUGUUUUUUUUAUUUUGAAAAAUAAUUUUUCAAAAUGACAAACCCAAUGCGUUUUUAGUAAUUUUAAAAUAGACCCUCAAAAUAUAUAACAGAAAAAUGAACUUAAAACUGAAAGACAAACCACUCUCAUGGAUGCAAAUUAUUCCUACGUUAUAUAAUUUUUUGUUAUUUCCCUUUUCUUCUUUGUUUGGCUAAGCUAAAAUUUUUUAAAAAAUUAAAAAAAAAUAAACAGAGGGUAAGCAUUAUUUUAAGCAAUAAUAUUAUAAAAGUUAUUUUAUCCUUGAGUAAAAAGAUCGAAGGUCUAUUCUUAGUUUAACCGUUACAUCAAAAUCAUAAAAUCCACCACUUAUCGGCCUAUGCUCGAUCAACUCGAAGCAGCUGGGAGGUCUACCCCCAUACAAUCCAUUAGACUGACAUUUUUUUCUUUCACUUUAUUUUGCUUACCCACACUAGAUUUAUAGAAUUAAUUAUAGGGUUACAAUAUGUAAACAGUGUCAUUCCUCAUACAUAAAGAGAUAUUUACAGAAUAUGAAUAUAAUAUUAUUCAACUAGCUCUUCAAAUGAGACUCAAUAAAUAAUUGUAGUUCUAUUUAGUUGAUAAUAGGGUUAACAUAUAUACAAAUGACAUUGUUAUUAAAGACGCUAUAUUAUUGUCCAAAACUUCGUCCUUGCUCCUUUAUUUCCAUGUAAAUGCAGUCAUUUUUGUCAUUGGUUUUUAACAUAAAACAUCUUAUUUAAAGAUUUCCAUAUGAGCUAAAUUAAUAGACGAUAUUUAAAAGCAUGUCCAUUGUAGGUCGACAUCACACAAAAAAAUGGACAAUGUCUAGGCAAUGAUAUAGAUGCAGAGACUUUAUUAAACAUUCUCGCUCAGCAAUUCAAUUGAUUAUGUUUCUCAUUUUCUUUUUUUAUAUAUCAGAUUUUCUUUCCCUUUCACUCUAUUUUAUUAUUUGUAUUUUAAUGUUGAUAAAGGACAUUAUAUAUGCUAAAAUAUUGAAAUAUAAAUGAAACUCAUUGGAGAACAAUUAUAAACUUGACAUCUAUUCUUAGACAUCAAUAACAAUUUUCAUAUCUACUAAAAAUCCAUAUAUUCAAAAGUCACAUGGGUCGCUAUUCACGAAAUGCAUUGAAGAUGCUAGAGUCAAUUCCAGUUGUCUCAAAUAGCUGAUGAGAUCCAUUAACUUAUUUUAACUUUAAAAUCAACUCAAUUGGUAGAGAAUAAAAAGGAGAAAGUAAAUUGUAUAGAAGAUACGAUUAAAUAAUGAAAUACCUAAGCAUUAAUAUUUUUGUUCAUUUCUAGAACUGAAAAAUAAAAUAAAAUAUGGGAAAUCACUCCUAGGCAAUAAUUAAAGAGAGGUUGUAUUACCACCACAAGAAAUGGUUGGUAUGCCACAUUUUUCUUAUUUAUUUAAAUAAUCACGAAAUAACAUAGAUCUCAUAUAUUAUUAGCUUAUAUAUUUAUUCAUUCCAUCACCAUCAUCCAUACACGUUGCAUUUUCAUUAUAAUAUACUAACGAUUAAUAGAUAUUAUUUUACAAACAAUCUAACUUAAUGUUUUUAGAUUAACUGUAAAUCUCAUUAGAAAUCUACAAAUUGGCUAGCUAAAACUUUGGUCAAACUUAAUUCAUUUUACUACUAGUCAAUUGAUAUGGAAAGUUUCCUCAGCAAAAUUAUUUGAAUAUGAGUUGGCGUUCAACUUGUUCAAUUCAAUCUCAUUCAAUAAGUCGUUCAUUUAUCAAACAAUUGAAAUCCGUAGUGAACACUGAAAUCCAAUCAAUCCUUAAAUGACAAAUGAAAUAUUGAUGAAAAAGAAGCUGAACCUUUCCAGAUAAAAUUCUACUUUCCAAAGAGUUCAAGUUGAUUCAAUAACUCUUUAUAAAAUUGAUUAUUUUCCGCCAUAUAUAUGUUCCUUAACAGAUUAAAAUUCAAACUAUAUGAACAUAAAUUUAUUUAAGCAACUAAAUUAAUUAUUUUUAUGCCAUAAUUAUAAUUUCAGCUCAAGAUGGAUAUGAAGCUAACAAGGGCGCGCGUAUGCACGAAGAAUUCCUCCAUGCUCUUGCAUGCAAUUUAAGAAUUUCUCUGGCUCUCUCCUUUGUCUUUGAUCCUCGAUCAAAAACUUCCAGUACCAGGCACAAUUUUGCCACUGCACCAAUCUGCAACAUUUCUUGUAAAACUCCAGGAGUUGCUGAGAACUUCGAUAUCGAAUGUAGAAUUCUUAUUCCGCUCUCAUUUGCUGUAGAUGAAACCCUAAGAAUCUUCUUCGAAACAAUGGCUAAUCCUGCGCUGUGAUUCAACAGUUCUGCUCUUCCCUCGGCGCAUUUGCAUAGCAAAUUCAGCUCCAUAAGCAUCAAUUCGGAAGCCCUUUUGUCAGAAGAAUCGAGUAAAAGGUCAAUCAACAAGGGCACUGCUCCAGCUUCCACUGCUUUAAUCCUGUUUUUUUCCCAUGGACAUACCUUGAUAAGAACUUUCAGUGUGGCUUUUGAGACCUUCCGAGAGAUUUGAUCGUUCAAGAUAUCUACUAAUUCGUGGAAGAAUUCGGAUCUGAGACUGAUCGGUUGAUUUGGAUCAGCCACUUCGAACAUGGAUUUCAGAAACAUGACAGCAUAGACACGAGAAUCAUAGCUCCCGGAUUGCAUGACGCUCGUUAAGGACAGGAUUAACUCGAUAUUAUUCUGCAAGAGGGAUUUGAGCCCGGAUCCCGAUAGCUGGAGAUUAUAGAGAAUGAUAGCUGGAGAUUAUAGAGAAUGCUCAAGGCUUCAUCACUUGCUCUUCUCAACUCAAUCACAUCUUCUGAUACUUCUGCUGAAGAUGCCUCUACGGUUUUCUUCACGAUUAACGAAGCUAAGAACUCAGCCGUGCCUGCUGUUUCCAUGCAUCUUUUAUUCGUUUCGUUGUGAGAAGCAAUGGAUCUGAGUCUUGCUUGUUCGGAGAGUUGGCAUCAUUGAAAAGCUUCAAAAGUUGGGACUUACUGAUUGGAGCUUUCGGGGUUGGGAGCCUCUCGAUGCCUUCUGGAGCAUGGAGGGUGCACCAGGAUUGGAUAAACUGCCGGAGAAUAAUGUUUGGGAUCAAUUCUGAAUCCAUAACCACUUGCUUCGUUACCGGGCAAGUAUUAUUAUUCUGAGAAAACAGCCAUUUUUCGAUGCUCUCCCGAUCAUAUGUUAUACCGGUAGAGAGCGUAACAGGAUCCUUCAUAAUCUCUAGACUGAUGGGGCAGAGAAAGUAGGAUGGAAUUUCAAUUUCAUCCAUAGAAGAAGAAGUAAUUAAAAAGAUCAAGAUUUGAUAAACCUAAGAUCUGAUCCAAAAGAAUAGGUGAUUAUACAAUUUUAAGCAAGAAAAUUAAGCUGAAGAGAAGUACAAAAAUUUUGUAAGCUAUAGAUGAAAAUCAAAGAAAGUGAGGUUCUUGAGUUGUGUGGAUUGGUUUGAAGAUUUAUGAGUUUGGAGGAUAUGGUUUUAUAUGUGUCUAUAAAGAGAGGUAAAGAUUCAAAAUGUCAAAGUCAAAACUUGGAAAAUUUUGUCUGUUCAGUUUGUGUGAAGGAAAGAGUAUUAUUGUGCUUUUUUUUCUUUUUUUUUUAAAUUAUAACAAAAACAUUUUGAACUUGGAGUUUUCUAACAUGCAAUUUGAAAAUGACAACUUUACCAAUAAUUUUCUCAUUUAAAAUUGAAACACGUGAUUAAGUCGUAUUUAACCAUGAAGGAGUAAAACUGAAGAUUCUGAGUUUGGAAAAGUUCAAUUUUGGUUUAAUUAUUUCACGAAAGUAACUUCGACCAGUUAUUAUUAUAAAAUUUCAUUCAAUUCAGUUGAACAGGUGUAGAUUUAUUUGAAUGAAUUGAAUUUGUAGUAUUUUUAUUUUAAUUGAAAGAAAAAUUGCUAGUCUAUGAGGUAAAUUGCAGUAAAUAAAGUAUAGAGAAACAAAUUUAUUUCUUCUCUAAAAGUUUCAAGAUAAGAUAAUUCAAAGUCCAGUAUCGUGUUUUUAAGUCUUUUUGCAAAUAACUUUAACAAGAAAUUAUAUAUUUAAUAGAAAAAUGAAUGUUUUCUUGUCUUCCAAAAAUAUGUAUGGUACUUCUAAUUUUAUGACUGAAACAUAUCUCAAAAUCUUUUCCCUUUUGAAAAUAUAAAAUAUAAGUAAAUAAAUCCAUUCCUCUCUUUUUUUCAUUCCCCCCCCCCCCCAAAAUGUACUAGUUUUAUUGGUAAACCCUCACUUGUGGUGGAGGAAGACCGUGGUUACAAUAUAUUACUAAAAGCGAAAAGAGGGCAAAUCCAUUCCUCUCUUUAAUCAUCGUAAACUUUUAUACAAUGUGAAUUAUUAUUAAAAAAAAAAAAAAAAAGUACUCACAUUUUUGAAUUUUUCAUUACGUAGUUAUGUUCUUAGGCUCUGAAUUAAAUAGAACAACAUAAAUUCUUAGAUAUGGAUAGAUAAAGCAAACUAUCACCCUAAUUUUUUUGUUAAUAAAUAUGAUAACAAUUUUCAUAAAAUAAUUUUUUCAACUCCAUUCUCGUACAAUAAUUCAAUACAAAACUAAGAUCCUCCUCUAAACAACCACACAACACACACCGCAUAUACUGUAUCAAGCCAAAGCGAAGAAGCUUUGUCUAUGUAUAGAGGCCACCUUGAAUUGCCAACCAAAGAAUAAAUACAUGAUGGAGAAUACAUUUAGGGAACCAUACAAAACUAAAGUCGUUCGUGAUUUUUUUAGUUCGCGCAUUCCAUCACCGACACCAACGGAUCAUAAAUGCAGGAUGGACCUACCAGUAGGUUUGCAACACAUGUAUGUGUAUUAAUCCAUAGUUGGCUGCCCAUAUUGACCAAAGCAGGUUAGCAAUGGCUCGGACUACACGGAGUUUUUAUUUAAUCUUGGUUCUAUUUGUUUCUCUUUGUUUAAGUCAACCCAAAAAAGUUAAAUUUUAUUGGGUUUUGAUUUUCUAAAAUAAUUUAUAGUCACAAAUAUUAUAUAUAUUUAGGGAACAAUAAAUUUCGAGACGAGUUUACUCAUACAGUGAUAGGAUGAACAAAGUUGUAGAUGUAAAAGUCUAAGAUGACAAAAAGAUUAUUUUCACAAUUAAUUAAUUAUUGAAUAUUUUGAGACUAAGUAAUUACAGAAAUUUGAGAACGAAAGGUUGAGAUUUAAAGCAAAAUGGACCAAGUUUAAUAUUUGUUGACUGUUUUUAGUCAACCCCCACAUGCCAAAUUGCAAGACUAUCAUCUUUUAUUGCCUAAAGGGAACUUUUUAAUUGCUUUAUGUGACCUUUGGGGCACUGACUUACCAUUUGAAUAGUUCUAAUUCCAAGGUUUGGAUUCACACUGCACUGGGGAAGCUCUUUUUGUUGGGAGAUACUCCACGAAAAAUUGAACAAAAAGUCGUCGUCGAAUUGACCUACUUUUUGCGCGUAUGAAUUGAAGUCUUUUGAGAAUUGUAAAUAUGGGCUGAAAAAUGAAUGCUUUCUCAACAGAAGGACAAAAUGCAAAAAUCCUCUUUUUUUCUUUAACAUAACUUAACUGAAGUUUUUUUCCGAGUAUUAAGUUGAGCCAAAGUCGACACAUAUGGAAAAACCAUAAAAGAAAACUCUUUUUGUGGCAUAUACAAAUCCAUGCAACUCAAUUUAACAAGCAUAACAAAUUGAAUGUCUGCAAAAUUGACAUGGAAUUGGUCAAUUUAUAGGUAGAGAGGCAUCGAUAACAAAUUUUUACUCCAAUAGUUACAAAUAGUUCUUAAUAUUGGAUCUUUUUGAAUAACACAACGAACAUGAUUUUAACUUUUUUAUACUCUCGAGUACUAUCCAAUUGACGUCACUAAAUAUGUCAUAAGUGUACAAGACACGAUAUGUUCAUUGUUACGUUUUAUAAUUUUCUUUUAGAAGCAAUAAUAUUUUAUAAUCCUAUACCUCUUUUACACUUUUAUUCUCCCAUUAAACACGUAAAUUAAUGGUUUUUGUGGUGGUUUUCACGUUAAAAGACAAAUAUUUCUUCAAACUCAAAUAAAGAAAAAUGAAAAGGAAAACAAGGAAAUAAAGGAAAAAUAAUUAACCAAAAUAGAACCACCCCCACCCUGCAACUCACCCUAAACCCACAAUAGCCACCAUUUAUAAUUAUUCGUUUGAAAUGUGGUUGAUGUACCCAAAAUUAUAUCCUUAUGAACUAAAUAUGAAAUUUUCGAUGUUAGUUUUAGUUAAUUUGCUUAAGGUAAACUAUAAGAAUAUAAAUUGAUAUAUUAUAUGCAGAACUAGUUGACAUAGUUUAAAUUUGAAGCAUAUAACUACAGAAAAUGACCAAAACUGAUAUUAGGAUAAUCUUUUAAAAUAUUGUAAUGGUUAACGCAUUAGACUAACUUAAAAUAUUUUCGUCGUUUAAUUAUAAAUUAUGAUGGUAUGUAGUUAAUGUUUCAAUGAAAUAACAUGCAGUAAUUUUAGCUAAAGAUUACUUGAUGUGAAAAGCAAAAUAAUUAUAUUUAAUAUCUUAUUUUAGUUUAUGAAUUAAUAAUAAAAAGAAAUUUAUUGAUAAGUUUGCAUUUAUUAAUAGUUAAAUAGGUAUUAUUAUACAUCUAGUUCUUGUGAAGUCCACAUAUGAGGUAACUAGGAAGUAGACGCCAUGUAGGCUAUUGUCCUCUACCAUGUGGAGGUCUAUCUUGAUCCUACUCGUUUCGCUUGGUCCGUUUGAUUGUAUGAUUCUAAAUAUCUAUUCAAAAUCCUACACGAUCAAAAGAAGAUUCGGAAAAAUAAUCGUCGAAUAGGUAAUUCUUUUUUAAAGAAACAAUAUCACAAUUAUGACUACUCGACAAAUGACUGUACAACAUGUACUAUUGACCUAAUUUAACCUAAACUCAUCUAUAAAUACAUUCGCUUUGUUCAACGAAAAGAUACACAACAUCGAACUCUAGCCAAAGUUCCGUACAUUUGUCUCUUUCAUAGAAAUUUUUUUCCUCUAAUAUUUUUUGACAAUUGACUUGCUUGUCUGAAUGUAAAUGGUAACCAAAUGUUCGAGUAGGUAGGCAACACGCUCUUAGAGUGAGGCAACAAGGGGAUAUUAAAAACUUUUCAAUCGUUUAAUAUGUAUAUUCAAAGAAUUGUGAAUGCACAAAGUUUAUUUGAUGUUUUAUACUCACUCCAAUGUAAAAUGCUAUGGAGAGUUAUAUAUAUAGUUUUAAUAUGUAUAUUCAAAGAAUUGUGAAUGCACAAAGUUUAUUUGAUGUUUUAUACUCACUCCAAUGUAAAAUGCUAUGGAGAGUUUUGACAAGUGACUCUUUAUGGGCUGCAUUCAUAAGGCAGAAAUAUUUGACUGUAAAUUUUAACAUUAACUCUUACUCACCUGGACUUGGUUCAUCCCCAUGUUGGCAUAAUUUAAGUAAACAUUUUCCUUUCAUUCAUGACCACAGCAGGUGGAUGAUCGGCCAAGGAAAAAUCUCAUUUUGGUAUGCAAACUGGACAGGUUUUGGCUCUUUAUAUGACCAAGGCUGGAUUGCUAAUGAACCAAGGUUACAGUUGAAAGAUGUUUGUGCAAAGGAUGCUUGGAAUACUGAUCUUAUUCAUAAGCUGGGAGGUGACAAUUUGAUGGCUUACAUUCAUACUUUAGCUAUCUGCUUGAAGCAAGUGCCAGACAAGCUAAUUUGGUGUCCGACUCCAACAGGAGAGUUCUCUACUAAUAAGGCUUGGAAUCUUUUACGUGAUACCAAGGACAAACUUCAUCUCUUCAAAUUGAUUUGGAAUAAAUUGCUCCCGGUAAAAAUCUCAAUCUUCUUCUGGUGUGUUUGGUUUGGUAUAUUACCAGCGGAUAGUGUUAUUAGAAGUCGUGGUGUCCCAUUAGUAUCAAAACGUUACUGUUGUUCUCAUACAAAAGUGGAGGACGUUGAGCACCUAUUUCAUACUAGCGAAGCAGCGACUCAUGUUUGGACUCAUUUUGCCAACAUCUUUGGAGCUCGAAGUGUUUUUGCUAGUUCAUGGCGUGCCAUACUUAUUAAUUGGUUGUACCAAUUUGAUGGUUCUUCGCAAUUUCAUCAACUUGCUCUUUUGACCCCUGCGCUAAUUGCUUAGGAGCUUUGGUUUGCACACAAUGAGGCUAGAUUUAAUGAGGGUUUGGUCAAUGGACAUAAAAUUUGCUCCAAAGUGAAACACUGGUUGGUUGAAUUAAAUUCAUUACUGCAACCAUCACGUGCUACUCCCUCUCAUCUUCAUGCUACUCUCCAUUGUCUUGGUAUGGCUCCAACGCCUUUGACAACUAAGGCUCCUCUCCUUGUUCGUUGGUAUCGUCUCCCUUGUGAUAUUCUUAAACUUAACAUUGAUGGUGCUAGCUGUGGCAAUCGUAUUAGAGCUGGUUGUGGUGGGAUGCUUAGGGAUUGGAAAGGAAAAUUUGUUUUUGGCUUUUCCCACUCUCUUGGGGUAGCCACUAACCCAUGGCGGAAACAAUGGCUUUGAAAUUGGGUUUGUAUUAUUGCUAUCUUUUGGGGGUUUCAAAGGUAUGGGUUGAAACUGAUACCCAAAUGGUUUGUCAUUGGUUUAAUGGGAUGGGAAAUAUUCCUUGGUCUCUUCAGCAAGUUUGGGAUGACAUCGUUGAUCUGGCAGACCUCAUCGAUUUAAAUGUCACCCAUGUCUAUGGAGAGGCAAAUUCAGUUGCUGACUCUUUGGCUAAGUUGGGUACAGAUGGACGCUCUUAAUUUUCUUACUAUAUUAGAGACUUCCCCAAGCUACAAAAGGUUGUUUCGUAUUAGACUAUAGUGGUUGUCUUUCCUUUCGUAUUCAUUGAUUGUAUUGUCUUGAGUUUUAUCAUUAUUGCUAUUUGUAACCACGGUCUGCCUCCGCCAUAAGUGCAGGCUUAUUAAUAAAAGUUACAUUUGUUUAAAAAAAAAUUAACUAAUUAUUAAAGAAUAAGGAAAAAUAUAGAAUUUCUUCGCAAGAACAUUUUAGGUAUGUCAACGUCAUUUUAGAAGAGAUAUGAUUCAAAAAAGUGAUGAGAGGAUGAAUAUAAUAUUGAAAAGUAGAAAUGUGGUAGGUUAGUGUAAUUUACUAAGUGCGCGGGAUAUUUUUAAUUUUGCCUCUAUACUUUUUUCCAACUAUUUUUAUUCUUUUAAGUUGUACAUGGAAUAUUUUGUCAUUUACACUGAUUUAAUGGUAUUUCACACGAGACGUUACUAGAAACUAUUUGAGCCAGGAAAUGAAAAUUCGAGGAAUUUAAUGCCACACACAAAAAAAUAAAUAAAUAAAUAAAUAAAGGAAAAAUGACGUUGAAUUUUAAAGUACAAAGAAGGUAUAAGUUGGAAGCAACAACUACAAAUUAUCCAGAAAUAAAAGUUGAAUAACGUAUACAUUUUUACUCAUAGGAGAUAAUGGAGUGCAUUUCUUAGAAAGCAUAAUUUAUUUUUACAUAUUUCAUAAAAUUCAUAAUUCUUGCAUUGACCUAAAUUGAUAAUUUAGCGUGGUUCAUAAUUUGAAUCUAUCUUUUUUUUUCUUUUUUUUUUUUUUUGAAUGUUGGUGGGAGAACAUAAAUUUAUGGGGAAUACCAUGGUGAAUUUAUGAAUAUUAUUUCACAAUAACUUUAAGGGGUACAAGGCACACCAGCUAAUUUACUACAUAAACCGUAUCAGGAUCCCUUCUACAUUCUUCAUAUAUUUCAAUAUAAUAUGGACCAAAUUACGGUAGUUAGGUCAUCUCCAAUCCAUGACAUCAAUUGGUACAACUUUCAUACCAUUUUGUAAAGUUACUUUCAAUCCAUUAUAUCAAAUGCUACACCAAAUGAAUAAUGUUUCAUUUAUUUCCUUAUCUUUUAAUUGUCAAAAAUUAAUUUAUUUCAAGAAUUAUUUAAUAUAAAUUACAGUCUACUGAAAUACUAGAUUAAAAGUUACAUUUAAUAACUAAAAUAUUAAGUUUAUUAAUAAAUAUAAAAGGCUUCACACUUAAUCCGUCAAUUAAAAAAUUAUGACACUUAACACACAAAAUAAAAUUUUUACAUAUAAUAAAAAAACUACAUUAUAAUAAUAAUAAUCAAAUUAAAAUAAAUAAAAUUAAUGUUAAAUCAUUAAGGAUAAAAUUUGUUGUAGUACAAAAUGAAGAGGAAAAUGCGAAUUAUGAAAAACUCUAAAAUUCAUACUAAAUGAAUAGUGUUGCAGCAAAUUUAGUGCAACGUUGUUAAUUGUACCAAUUUGAUGUAAAGAUUUAAGAAUAUUGCUAUUUGUACGUAAUGAUAUUAUACAAUGAUUUACAUAUAGAUGAAGUGUCAAAAAGAGAUUGUGGAAGAUUCCCUUUUUUUUUUUUUUUAAAUUGAAGAAAUUUUGAACCAAUUAUAUCAACUACAUCAUAUAAUGUAAACCAUUUACAUAAAUUAUUAUGUACACAUAUAGCACAACCGAAAAUUUAAUAUUAGGUUUGAGUGAUUUUUGCGAGCUGUAACUGUAGUAUUCUAGACAAGACAAGUGACGAGGCUUUGCUGCACCAAGUCUUUGAAAGUGUUCAAUUAUUUAAUGGAUAAAUAUUUCCAGUUUACUUCGUAACUAAAUCAGCUAAUAAUUAUUUUUAUAAAAAAACCAGAAGAUUUCUAUUUUAAAUUCAUGAAGUGUGAACAUGUAAAGAUUGAAUCAUAUUCACACGCCUAUUUUUUUUUUAAAAAAGGUGCUUUUAUUUGUAUUUACUUUAUAUUUUUAGUACGAUGCAAUUCUUUUAGCUUAAUUAAUCCGUAAGCAUCAAUUAAAUUUAUCAAAAAUGUCAAAACUUUUUAAGGAGAAGACGUCUUCGAGAUGAGGAUUCAGGCUCCGUUAUUAUUUAAAAACUAAAAGUAAUAGAGAAGUCUAAUAUUAAAAAAAGAAUUUAAAAAGAUAAGGAAAAAACACAAUAAUCUUUCCAACGUGGCUGCCCUCACACCACCACCACCAUAAUCCCUCAUCGACCAUUAAUAUUGAUCGAAGAAAUUCACAAGUGCACGAUAUCGUAGAUAAAUAAUAUAAUAAGAAGUAAAAUAUCGUCUUGCAAAGAUAUGUACUUAAUCUAGUUUUGAUUAAUAUGUAUUCAAUUUGAUUAAUAUGAAUUCUAAUUGAAUAGCCAAGUUUUGAUGAUGAAUUUCUAUAACUAAUUAACUAACUAAUCUAAUUGAUGAGCAAUUAUUAAAGCUUUGUUAAACCGGUUUAUAUACGAUCAAAGAUUUUGAAUCCCCAUUUAUUAUUUCAUUUUAUUACAAAGAUCAUGACAAUAGUUAUUUAUUCUUGUUGAUUAAUGUUCCUAUUUCUUUCAUAAUUAAUCUCUUUCGAGUAGACUCAAAUAUAUUCUCAAAUUUGACCCUCAUAUAUCUAUAUGAAAGAUGCGAAUAUGAAAGAAUAUAUUAAAAAUAUUAGAACAACUAUCAAAAUCAUGCAAGGAUAGAAUUAUAUCUCUAUAUUUUAUCGGACCUCACAAGAUUUGUUAUUUGUUGCUAUCUUUCCUAUUAUUUCUCUUGGAUAUAAUAAAAACCACUCAUCAAUCCAAUUAAUGAUCAAUUAAUUGAAAAGCAUUGAAUAUAACAAUUUUUCAAGCUAAACAAAUACUUAACAUCAAAAUAUUGAAAUUAAAUUAAAAUUUCAUAAUAAACUAUUUAUUUAUAUCUUAGCAACUAAAAGUUUAGCCUAACAUUACAGUAUUACAAGAAAUCAUAAAGGAAUAAUCAAACAUCACCCGAAUUCGAAAUAUAUGAAGAAAGAAAAGAGAAGUCACGAAAUUUUGAAUUUCUUCAAUCUUGAUAUGUUGCCUCUUGACUUACCACAAAAGAAUGAUAUUUUUACCUCUCUUGAUUGCAAGAAUUUGUAUAGUGUAUGGUAUGAGAGGUGUCUUUAGUUAAUGGAUGAAGAUUUGUAUUUAAAAGCCAAAAUUAGGUCAAAAUCCGUGUUGAAAUUCGUUGAAUCAUCCAAGGAAAGAGUCUCGCCUAGCUAGACUACAGCCAUGUGAUCGCAAUACAUAAAUAUGUGCAAUCGCAUCGUUAAGCACUUCUAUCAUCUGCUUUUGCCAAAUAGAGCAUUGGGAUCAUAUCACCUUGUUUCAUGCAAUCGCGCCCCUAUAAGUUUAUUAACUUCUCAAUUUGAUCCCGAACUCUUUAUUCAAUCUUAAUCCUUUUUUAAUGUAAGUUUAGUCCUUCAUCUUUUAAUUUUAUUCAAUUUGAUCUCUAUAAUCUGUAGACGCCAUUCUUUGGUUCGAAAUAACUUUUAUACAUUAGUUAGUUCCCAAACUUUAUAAUUCUUCCUUUUUCAUCCUUCUUUGAUCGAUUUUCGCUUUUUUUUUUUUUUUAUCUGAAAUUGGAUGGUAUGACAACCACCUAUAAUGACCAACAAAAACAAGACACAUCACAAUUUGCCUGGACCGUAGACCCAAGUGAGCACUUUAUGUACAUGCCUGACCAUCGAAUCCCAUGAGCGCUCUACGUCCAUGCCCGACCGUUGACCCCAUAAGCGCUUUACGUCCAUGCUCAACCGCCGAUUCCUUUGAGCACUCUGCAUGCAUGCCCGACCAUCGACCUCCAUGAGUGCUUUACGUCUAUGCUAGGCUGUUGACUCCUAUGGGAUCAUCUAACACUAUGCAGCUGAUCAAACACUUAGCCAUAAAAUCGUCAGUAGAUUGGAUGAAGAUCACUUGACGAUGGUCACAGACGCAACCAAUUGUUAGAUAGUUGGAGGAUCCCCACUCAAAACGUGGGGUAGUAGAAGAGGCUAUGUGGGACAUGUAGCACCGUAACCGCCCAACAUUCCCAUGGUUUCAAUCAUCUAUAAAUACACCUAAUGGGAAACAUGUAUGGAAAGAGAAAAACUUUUGCUAUCUGAAUUCCAUUUUUGCUUUCCGUGAUACCGUAUAUUGAUUCUCACACCAAAGAUAAAAUGGGGGAGAAAGUCUCGCCCUCACUUUUCUAGUAACAUUGGUUCAUCGGGGUAGUAGAAACACCUUGUGCCGCCAGAAGGGCACAAAGGUAUUAUUUCACAACUACUUCAUUAUAUUUUUUUCAUCAAAUACAUUCCAAAUUUGAGUUUAUCUUGUAACAAUCGAUACUUAACUAAAUUAAAUAGUAAUCUCAUCAAAUUGACUCCCAAAUAUUCACUUUUAAUGGCUUGAAUAAGUGUAAAAAUGACACCUAUCAAACAUUACCAUCAAACAAAUGUUUAAAACCCAGCCAAGCCCAAGAACCUUUGAGGUCUAGCAAGCCUAAUUGACCGGAUUAGUUUUGCACCGAUAAAAAUUCUGAUAAACCGAUGGAUUAUUUAAAUUCAAUUCACAUUAAACUGGUCGAGGCUAAUAUAAGAUAGUAAAUCUCUGAUUUUAAAAAUUAGCGUUUAGCAAAAUUCAAACCCUUGAUCAUUGCUGAAGGAUAGAGCCAAUAUACCAAUAUAAAUCACCAUUUUAAGUAAAAUAACUAUUUGAUUUGCCCCAAAUUUGUGAAAUAGAAGAGUUCUAUUAAGAUUCUUGCUCGAAAAAAGAGAAAGUUGCCAUAUUUAUUACAAAUCUUUCUCCUGUUAAUGCCUUCACAUGUUGACAAGAAAUAGGAUUUAGUUGCUAGUUUGUUGAUUUCAUAUGUAAUUAAGAAAAGGAAAGCAAUUACCGAUAAAAAUAAAAUAAAAAAUAAAAGAAAAGAAAAGGAGAGUGAUUUUUCUAUAAAUACCGCCUCAAGGCUUCAAUUGUGACAUGUGCUUAGCCCUAAGAUGACGAGAAUUACAUGCACCAAAAUUAAGAGUUUAGAGGGAGAAAAUUGGUGGAGAGAGUGAGAAAAAGUAAGAAGAAAUUGCAUCGUACCGUGAGCAUUCCAGUUAAUUGACCGGAGAGGUUGUGAGAGAGAAAAAAACAUGUAUUCUUUUCAUGUGGUCGACGGUGAUUUGCCAAACCAUAUUAAUUGCUUUUCUCUCUUUAUGGCUUAUUUUGUUUUUUAUUUUCGCGAUGUUUGAUAGAACUAGUCGAAAGUAAACGUGCGUUGCACGUUGUUCUGAAUUGCUUUAUAAGUAUCGAAACAAUAAUAUUUGAAGAUGCCUUAAUUUGAGAGAUAGUUGUAAAAAAAUGAAGAUGUGAAAUGAAUUUUUUAUUUAAUGAGAAUUUCUUUGGGCACUAUAUUUUUUAUAUGAUUAGGGAUAUCCGACUUAACCAAAACCUUUGUAGUUGCCAUAGAAAUUCUUCUCAAAAGUGCAAUGGAUAACUAUCCAUGUGAGAAUACUUGUUGUCGAAGAUAUACUCCGACGUGAGGUAUUGUCUGUCCUUGGGCAUUGUUGAUUGUCAUUGCAAAAUAGAGACGUACAUUAAACUAUUUCCGUAUAAAUUUGAAUGGAUAUCUUUCAUCAUUUGCAGGACUUAAUUGUAUAUGCGGAAUGAAUACGUGUUUGCUAGAGUAUUGUCUAGUAGUUAUCUUUGCAUGUAUAAUAUGAAUACUGAAUUGACGACAAACCAUCUUACUCCCAUUGCAGAGACCAUUUGAAGGAUUUGGGUUUCUCAAAAGCAUUAUUGGACAAUUUAUUCUCAACACUAAUCGAUGAGGUGGAACUAUGUUUGGAAGUAAUAUGAUGAGAAACUCUAGUUGAUAGUAAUUAUUUGUGUCAUCUACUGCUACAUCAUAACUAAGGAACUCUUUAGUUUCACUUAGGGAAAGAUCAAUAACUUUUUCAUUUAUGAGAUCAACGUUUUCAUUUGUAGUGGAUAGAAUUGCUCUUUGUGUUAUAUAUUCCGAUGAUUCUACAUUAUUGGUAGUUCUAAGAAGACAUAGUUGAUUAAAUUGAGCUCUGUGGAGUUGUUGUUAGAAGAAAGUACUAUGUCUUUUGGAAGUGAGAUGAAGUCUUCUCCUGCAGUUUGUUCUAUUCCAUUGCCGACUUUGAUCAAGUAUUUCGUGAAUUGAUGAUCAUUUUGUGCUCUCAUAUUAUGUGUCAAAUGUAGUUUAUGCAUUUUUUCCCAAAGAUACGAUCAUACCAUACUUUCGUUAACUAUUUGUUGUCCUGUUGCUCAUGGGACAACUGGAAGAGCCUGGUGAAAAUAUCUCCCAAAUACCAUUGCUUUAUUCCCAAAUGGUUCAAAAUUGUUCAUGAUAUCUUGAAAAGUCUGUCAACUGCCUCAAUUGUUGCUCUCUUGCCAUUGGAGCUUCAUCCCAUAUAAUGAGUGCUGCUUGUCGAAUAAGUUUGGCUCGACCGCUUUGCUUUGAUUUAUGACAUAUCGAUGAUUCAUUUGUUUGCAACAGAAUGUUGAAUCUCGAAUGAGCUAUUCACCCUCCAGGCAUUAUUGAAGCAGCCACUCUAGAAGUUGCAAUUGCAAGUGCUAUACCCAGCAAUCUUAUUUCAGCAAGUAACGCACGAUAUAUAAUUGUUUUACUAGUUCCUUCUAGUCCAUCAACAAAGAAAACCCCACAUUUUUUUAUUGUUUACUUUAUCAAAUAUGAGAUCAUAGGCUUGUCUUUGAUCAUGAUUUAGAUAAUGUGAUGCUUGUGUUUGGUAUUUCAAUUGAUAUUUCAUCUAAUAUGUCCUUUGUACUGAGAGAAUGUGUAUCCGUGGAGACAUUUCUUAGUUGAAGCAAGUCAUAUGCAUUGAUGUUUUCCCCUAUGGACUGAAGGAAUUAUUGAAUAUCAUGAAGUGUAUACUGAAGUUGUAAUUGUAAAAAAUAUUGAUCUUGUUUUCUGAAAUCUUCAAGCAUAUAUUCAAAGUAAAGAUCCCAUAAAUUUCUAAAAUUAUUAGGUUCACAAUAAAUCAACAAUGUAGUAAAGAAUCUUCUAAAUGCUCGAGGCAUGUGAAAGGCGACUGCUUCAUCUAAGCAUUCAAUGAUACUUCGAUCGGACUCAAGAAGACCUCUUUUUUGGUUUGUUUCUUUAAAAGUCCAAAAUUGACUCCCAUUAACAUUCAUGAGGUCCUCAAAAGACUUAGGUCCCCUUACACGAUUUAGUAAUAAACAAAGAUAAUAUCAUUUCUCUUCAGUUGGAUUUGCUUCUGCAAUGCAUGAUAUCACUUUUUCCUUUUUCCUCUUUGUCCAUACAUGGGCCUGCCUAUUCCAUACGUAGUGUUUUGAAAAUUCUCGAUAUAAGAUCUCAUUGCAUCUUCGUUGUUGUUACACAUUUUGAAAUAUUCAGUCAACAUUGUCCUUGAUAUAUGAUCGAAUUGGAUAACCCUAUUCAGAUCUUGGGUUUCCCAAUAUGAUACCGUUUGUUGAUUAGGGAGGUGAAGUUGUAAGUUGAUGAUAGCAGGUGACAUUUCAUUCAAUUGGAAUUCAUAAAUUCUCCAUAAAGAUUCUUGUGCAGAUACCCAAUGUGAAUCUUGGAAUUCUCGUAUUUCAUUUAUUAUCCUAUUUUCAUCAUCAUGAGAUAUAUAGAUAGCUGCUCUGUCAUGCCCUUUUUAGAUAUAUAAGUAUUUAACAACUUUCAAACCGGAACAAAUCUCUACAUUAAUAUGGCAAUUAUAUCAUAGAAGCAUAUGGGUACAUGAACUGAAGUUUUUAUUUUUUCUAAUUAUGUGGAUUUACGUGAGAUAUUUGGUUAUGAAAAUGAAAAAAUAAUGCUGCUGUAUAUCACAUUUGUAAUUGCACAUAUAUUCAAUGUAGGUAAAUGUAUUCAAUAUAUGAUUAUGAUUAUGUGUGCAUGCAUGCAUUUGUGUUAAUGUUUCAGUAUAUUUUCUGGAUAAGAAAUGGAUUACAUGAACUUAAAUAAUUUAUUAUAGCUCUGAAAUAUAUAAAGUGUAUAUGAACUUGAAGACUUGAUGUGAAAUUUAAUAUAUCUAUAAAUUAAUUAAUUAAUUAAUGUUUAUUAUUAUACAUAUAAUUGAAUUGUUGUACUUCUAUAGUAAUUGAAUAGCCUCAAGUUAUACACCAUUUUGUCUAAAUAAUUUUUCCAAGAUCAAAUCUAUUUAUUGAAUGUAUAAUUCUGUGCAUGCAUUUAGGUAAAUGUAGUCAUCAUAUAAUUAUCAUUGUACGUGUGCAUGCAUGCAUUUCCGUAAAUUCUCAGGCAUCAUUUUACUCUGGUUUUUUUAUUUUAUUGAUUCAUGCCCAGAAGUUGUAAUAUAAAUCCAGAGUAUAGAAGUUUAGAGAAAGAGGAUUUACUUAUUCUAAAUAGCUUUUCGAAAUGUUGAGAGAGUGAGCUGGUUUUCCUCAGAAUUCUCAUUUUGGAUGGAUUUUAUGGGAAUUGCUUAUUUCAAUAAUAAGUGGAUCAAUUUUGGUUUCACAAGAAGACAACACCAUUAAUGUACAAAAAUUUAUUCCUCAAGUUUAAGAUUAAGAUUAAUCAUUAAUGUGAGGUCUAAAUUAAUUCUCCAAACUACCGUGCAUUUAUUUUAUUUUGUUUUCGAGAAUUAUUCUAUUAAUCUAUGGUUUAAAGUCAUUCUUGAAGUUCAUGAUUACAUUAUUUUGUCUAAGUUAAUUUUCCAAGAUUAUGUGUAUAUAUAUAGCAUGCGUGUCCAGUUUCUUUUGUAAUAAUAAUUGUGAAGAUGAAUAUUAAUUAAAAUGCUUAUCACUUUCAAGAUUAGUCUCUAAUGUGAGAUCUAAAAUAAAUCUCCAAAGUCUCGUUCAUUUAUUUUACUUUUUCCCCACAAUUUUAACGGUACAGCAAUUUUUUUUUUUUUUAAAUAUAACAUAAACUUUCUCAUAUUAAAUUAUAAACAAUAAAAUAAUAGGUGUGUUUUGUGUCGAUGAUUCGAACAAAAAUAAUAAUAUGUGUCUCUUAAAUGAUAAGAUAACAGGUAUGAUUUGAGACGAUGUUUCGAACAAAAAAUACUAAUAUGUGUUUCUCUAAUCUAAAUUAAUAUUCAAUCUUCUAUUUUUAGUUUCUUGCUCGGAUGGCUUCCUUCAUUUAUCUUCUUUGCAUCCACCUUGUAAACUUCUUCGACAAUCAAUUUCUUCCAUGUUCUUUCUUCUCUUUUCUUCACAUCCAUCUUCACCAAGAAUUUGA